rnacentral:lncRNA from 1 species
AUGAAACAGAGGAACAGAUCCUGCAGUCUUCCAAUGAUCAGUGGCUUUCUUGGAGAAAUGGUCUCUCUCUGGUCUCUGGGACAGUUGCAAGUUUUGGAGAGGACUUGGUGGCUCAUGAAGAUCCCACCUCAGGGCCAGAAGAAAUCUAGGCGGUGUCACAGCGAUGGCAAAAUGCUCUGCAGGACAGUCACAUACCCAGCCAGAGAGGACUGCAAGAAGAGCAGACCCACGCCAAGUGUUCCUAUCCACGGUUUUGUUUUUAAAGAAGAAGUGGAUACCUCCCUGCAUGGCUGCAAUACCCGCCGGGUCGCAGACGCUGCUGGCUUGCCGCCUCGCCAGCCCGCCAUUCCCACUGCGAUGCCAGCCCCAUCACCAGCUCUCUGCCGCCCCGGCCAAAAUCCUUCCUGGCAUUUGAGCAAGGAUUUUGCUGGUGCAGUCAAGUCACCCUCGGUGUCACCAGCGGGGAGAGGGCAACCAAGCCCACUGAGAGGGCUGCCCUCUCCUCCAGCAGGGAGCUGCCCAUGCAACAGGGUGCACUGCUUAAGUGCCCUCUGCCCCAGGCAUGUUUCUAUUUCAAAACAAAACAACAACCAAAAAAACACAAGGCUAUGGAGGGGAGUGAAGCAAGCUGUUCAAACCAGCAGGAGGUCCCACCACUGCCAAGAGGGGCAUCUCCUCCCUGUGAUCCCUCAGUGGGGUGGAGGAGCUCACCGGGCCCCUGGGAACCAGGUUGCCUCACAAAGCUUGCUGAAAAUUCCCAUUUUUAUUAUCAUUUCUUUUUCUUUUUUUUUUUUUUUUUUUUUUCCUCUGGGAAAGGCAAUGGGCUUGUCCAGCAGGAGGUCCAGGAGCAAGCAGGGGAGAGGGGACAGUGGCAGAGGGCAGCAGGAGGCAGACCCUCCCCUCCGGCUGGGGCUCGCAUUGGUGCGGCUUCUCCCCACCGGCCCCCACCCCGCUCCUCCCACCGCCAGCAAUGCAGGGGACGGAGGAGAUCAAUCAUGGAUGGGGAGAGUUCAUUGCGAUGGGUUCACGUCUUUGUUUUUCCCUUAA